UACGUAGGGUGCAAGCGUUAUCCGGAAUUAUUGGGCGUAAAGAGCUCGUAGGCGGUUUGUCGCGUCUGCUGUGAAAACUGGGGCUCAACCCCCAGCCUGCAGUGGGUACGGGCAGACUAGAGUGCGGUAGGGGAGAUUGGAAUUCCUGGUGUAGCGGUGGAAUGCGCAGAUAUCAGGAGGAACACCGGUGGCGAAGGCGGGUCUCUGGGCCGAUAUUGACGCUGAGGAGCGAAAGCGUGGGGAGCGAACAGG
rnacentral:rRNA from 1 species